rnacentral:rRNA from 1 species
ACGGCCGCGGUAUCUUGACCGUGCAAAGGUAGCAUAAUCAAUUGUUUUAUAAUUGAAGACUGGAAUGAAUGGUUGAAUGAAAUAUUAGCUGUCUUAUUUGUAUUUAUUAGAAUUUAGCUUUUAAAUGAAGAGAUUUAAAUGUAAUUGAUAGACAAGAAGACCCUGUUGAGCUUAAAAUAAUUUUAAAGAAAUAGUUUUAUUAUAUUAAAUAAAUAAAUUUUAAAUUUUUUUUGGUUGGGGCGACUGAGGAAUAAUAAAAGCUUCCUUUAAUAUAAUUAGAUUAAUUGAUUUUGAUCCAAUAUUAUUGAUUAAAAGAAAUAGUUACCACAGGGAUAACAGCAUAAUCUUCUUUGAGAGUUCAUAUCGAAAAGAGGGGUUGUGACCUCGAUGUUGGACUAAAAUAUCCUAUAAAUGUAGCUGUUUAUGAUGGUUG